GGGAAGAAUGCGUUGGUGACAGUUCGUAGAAGUUCGCUGAAUUCCGCUGAUGGGGGACUUUUAAUCCGUUGGUCACUGGUUCGAAUCCAGUACGUCCUACCA
rnacentral:tRNA from 2 species